AUAAAGUCCUUGGGCACAUCUAAUUAUCUGUGCUCAUAAAUGGUGACAGAAAUACAAUUGGAGAUGUAUACUGUGGGAAGCCAAUAAACGCCAUUACAAGAUGGCGCUGGUUUCAAUAAGCUGACGCCCAUGAAUAUGGGUAAACAACCAAUGUGAGCAUGUGCAGUAGAGUUUUUUUGCCGAGUCACUGCCUGGCCUGAGGCAUGUAAAUGAGGUACUGAAAACAUAACCAAUCAGGUAUAGACACACCACUCCUAGGCCUAUAUAAGCAGCACCAGUGCCAGGGCUCGGGGUCUUUCGUUUCACUAUCAAGCUCUCCCAAUAAACGUGUACAGAAUAAUCCUGUUGUGGCAUCCUUCUUGCUGGUGAGUCAGGCAUCUACAAGUGGUGCCGAAACCCGGGAACAAGACAUCUUAAGGCACAAACAAAGACCCUCAAGAAAGGGAGGAUUCAAAACUACAUUUCGUGAGAGAAUUAAGAAACAGAAAAACAGAAUCAUCCGAAAACAUAGUAUCUCAAAGACAGAGGGUCCUCAGGAAAAGCAACAACGUGUAGAAUUGUCAUCAACCAGCAACUUCCAAGCUGUAAGCGAACUCCUGACCUUUGAAGGACUUUCAGCAAUUCCUUCUAGCAGACUUCAGUCUUCUCAGAAGCCUCUAGAAGCUCACUUGGAUUUAAAGAUGUCUCCAAUCUCUCCAACAUCACCUUGCCACAAUCUUCCAGUGUCUCUAUCCUCAGACUCAAAUGUUCAUCUGAACUCUAAUGCACAUUCCAUCCUGUUCAGUGGUGCCCAGGUUCCUCAUGUACAAUCAGCAACAGGAUUCAGUAAUGUCGGGGUCCCUCUUAUGCCUUCAGAAACAGUGUUCAGUUCUUCCAGUGCUCCUCAGAUAUCUCAAAUAACAGUACCUAACAGCAUCCGGGACCUUUACCUUCCUAAACCAGCAACAUUCAAUAGCACAGAGGCUCCUCACAAACAGGCAAUAGCAUCCAGAAAUGGCCAAACUACUAGAGCGCCAUCAGCAAAACUGACAAGCAAAUCACAGUUCCUAAAGUUGCAUCCUCCAGCAACAGCAUCCAGCAAUUCUCAGGUUCCUCAUAUUCUAGCAACCAUGCCCAGAAGCAUCUCUGUCACACAGGUACCUCAAACAACAACAUCCAGUAGCAUUCAGACUCUUAACUCUGCUACAGUAAAAGCAUCCAAGAAUGUCAAGGCCCCUCAAGUAUCUUUACCAAUACGACCCAAUUAUUUUCUGGCUUCUGUGGCACCUCCAUCAGCAACACCCAACCAUCUUACAUCUCCUGGGCCACUUUUGUCAAAAGCCAUAAGCAGAGCCCAGACUACUCAAAUUGAACCAGGAACAGAAUCCAUUUGUGUCCAGGCUCUUCAUGCUCCUCCAUCAACAGUGUCCAGAAGUAAGUGCACCACUCCAUUGACACAAGGGGCAGAAUCCAGUACUGGGGAAUUCCUUCCCCUUCCUAAAGUAAAAGCAUGCACGAUAUUCCAAGCACCUCGUGUGUCUUCACCAACUGCAUCCAGCAGUAUCAUGAAGCCACAUGCAACUUCAUCAACAGCAUCCAGCAGCAGUCUUCUGGCUCUAAAGUUGUCUCCAGUAACAGCAUCUAGGGCUCUCAGUGCUAUUCCAGGGCUUUCAGAAACAAUACACAGAAGUCCAUCCAGGGUAAUGACCUUUUCUUCUAAUAAUAUUAUGACAGAGA
rnacentral:lncRNA from 1 species